rnacentral:rRNA from 1 species
AACGAACGCUGGCGGCAGGCUUAACACAUGCAAGUCGAACGGGCGUAGCAAUACGUCAGUGGCGGACGGGUGAGUAACACGUGGGAAUGUGCCUUUCGGUUCGGAACAACUCGGGGAAACUCGUGCUAAUUCCGGAUACGCCCUUACGGGGAAAGAUUUAUCGCCGAAAGAUCAGCCCGCGUCCGAUUAGCUAGUUGGUGAGGUAAAGGCUCACCAAGGCACCGAUCGGUAGCUGGUUUGAGAGAACGACCAGCCACACUGGGACUGAGACACGGCCCAGACUCCUACGGGAGGCAGCAGUGGGGAAUCUUGGACAAUGGGCGCAAGCCUGAUCCAGCCAUGCCGCGUGAGUGAUGAAGGCCCUAGGGUUGUAAAGCUCUUUGUGCGGGAAGAUAAUGACGGUACCGCAAGAAUAAGCCCCGGCUAACUUCGUGCCAGCAGCCGCGGUAAC